UAUGGCUCAAAUUUCGUUAUUGGCUUUUAUUAUUGUUGCUUUAGGAUUUUUCUGGAUUUAAAUAAUAAUAGAAAUCCAGAAGCAAUAAGGACCUUAUCCUUCCAGUUUAUUCAGUAAAGUUAGGGUUUCUUUUGUUUAAUAUCAUUGUAACUGAUGUGAAAAUCUUCAAUAAAUGUAUUUCAAUCAAAACAUUGUAUUUUAAUGAAAAUCCAAGUCACAACUAGAGAGGUUUUAUGUAAUACAUUCGCAAUUUGUACGCAUUGUUUGUCACAAACCUUGGAUCUCCCUUUCUGCUCCCCUUUUUAAAAAUAAAACUCAACACCUUACAGAAGGGAAAAAAUGUGUAUGCUACAAAAAUUGUCAAAUCUGUGUUAUCAGGAAUAUACCAUCCAUCUAUAGCAUGUUUACAAAAACCAAAGAUUCAAAGCGUAUAGUUAAAAAAGCAAUAAACUGUCAAGAAAGCUCAAAACUCCAAAAUUUUGCUGUUUGCACUUAAGGAUCAACGAUGCGAAAAAAAAAAGGCAAGAGAUCGCUAUGGUGGUCAAAUGUGGUGAGGUAUGUAAAUGACUGAUGUUUCAAUCAAUGAAGAGAAAAAUAACAAUAGUUAGAAGAAUUGAAGAGGAUGGUGACAACGAUCCUCAACAAAAAAUUUGUAGAUUUUUUAAAACAAAUAUUAAUAUCAUGUUUUAAAUAAAUAUUUAUAUGGAUAUUUA